GAUGAAGAACGUAGCGAAAUGCGAUAAGUAGUGUGAAUUGCAGAAUUCAGUGAAUCAUCGAAUCUUUGAACGCACAUUGCGCCCCUUGGUAUUCCAAGGGGCAUGCCUGUUCGAGCGUCAUUUGUACCUUCAAGCUUUGCUUGGUGUUGGGUGUUUGUCCUGAGGGACUCGCCUUAAAGUAAUUGGCAGCCAGUGUUUGGUUUUGAAGCGCAGCACAAGUCGCGAUUCAAAGCUAUACGCCCGCUUCCACAAGCCUUUUUCACUUUUGACCUCGGAUCAGGUAGGGAUACCCGCUGAACUUAAGCAUAUCAAUAAGCGGAGGA
rnacentral:misc_RNA from 1 species